AGAAUAUAUUGAUAAUAUAAUUGGUUAAUAGAAAUGGUAAGAACUAGAGGCGCAUCAUCUUCCCGUGGAGAGGCUUCAUCGUCUCGUGGUCAACCAUCAUCUUCAUCACAUGAUGAAAGGAGACGACUUACGACUUCUGUUCGUAGAAGACGCGUAGAGGAAUAUCGCACGGACGUCAUUGAUGAGCAUCAUUAUGAGGACCACGAGGAGUCUAUACAGCAAGGACAUCAUGAGGAGGACUAUGUUCAGCAUGAGGAUGUUCAAGAGCAGGAUGAGUAUAGUGAGGAAGAAGAUGAAGACGAAGAUGAAGAUGAAGAUGAAGAUGAAGAUGAAGAUGGAGAUGAAGUUGAAGAUGAUGGAUUUCCAGGAGGUCCACAUGACACCUCCUUGCUUACACACUAUUCCCAGCAUGUUGCAUAUGCCAUAUGGCAAGGCCAGGUUGGCAAUCAACCUAAAUGUUAAUUGUUUAUUAAUUGCUUAUUUACUUUUGUUAUAUAAUAAAGUGUUUUUAUGUAGGAUCGAGGGGAAAUUCAAUUGAGGACCCAUGGUAAAAAAUUAAAAAAUUUUGGAAUGUAUCAUGAGGCUAUCGAGCCAUAUAUAUCCAUGUCGGGGUUGGCUUCCUUAGUCAACCUAUCCUACGAGUAUGUUGAUCAUGGAUUGAUCGUUUCACUUGCGGAGAGAUGGCACCUAGAGACAAAUACUUUCCAUCUUCCGGUAGGCGAGAUGAGCGUCACAUUAGAUGACGUUCACAAUCUGCUCCACCUAGCUAUCAUGGGGCAAUUUUGUGAGGUGGAGGACCUAGAGUACGAUGAGGCUCGAUCUCAUCUUAUGGACUUGCUUGNCGUCGACCGCGCCAAAGCUUCAGCCGAGAUGAAGAAGUCACGCGGUCCAAAAGUGCGGCUGAGUUGGCUCCGCGAGGUCUACCACGAUUGCAUUCAGCAGGAGCUUUGGGAGUGCGCUGCUCGGGCGUAUUUGUUGCAUCUGCUUGGAUGCACAAUUUUUACGAAUAAGAGUGGGAAUUUGAUUCGUGUCUCGUACCUCCUUCUGUUGCGAGACUUGAAUGCAUGUUCGAGAUAUGCCUGGGGAGCAGCUGCACUGGCACACACUUAUGAGCAGCUAGGAGAUGCUANCUUCAAUGGUGUCAGACAGAUAGCUGGAUAUUCCACUCUUCUACAGGUACAUUAAAGUUUUACAAACUUUUU
rnacentral:lncRNA from 1 species